rnacentral:rRNA from 1 species
GACGAACGCUGGCGGCGUGCCUAAUACAUGCAAGUAGAACGCUGAAGGAGGAGCUUGCUUCUCUGGAUGAGUUGCGAACGGGUGAGUAACGCGUAGGUAACCUGCCUGGUAGCGGGGGAUAACUAUUGGAAACGAUAGCUAAUACCGCAUAACAGUAGAUAUCGCAUGAUAUCUACUUGAAAGGUGCAAUUGCAUCACUACCAGAUGGACCUGCGUUGUAUUAGCUAGUUGGUGAGGUAACGGCUCACCAAGGCGACGAUACAUAGCCGACCUGAGAGGGUGAUCGGCCACACUGGGACUGAGACACGGCCCAGACUCCUACGGGAGGCAGCAGUAGGGAAUCUUCGGCAAUGGACGGAAGUCUGACCGAGCAACGCCGCGUGAGUGAAGAAGGUUUUCGGAUCGUAAAGCUCGGUUGUAAGAGAAGAACGAGUGUGAGAGUGGAAAGUUCACACUGUGACGGUAUCUUACCAGAAAGGGACGGCUAACUACGUG